AGGGCCAAAAAGGCUUCACUUACCUGGCCGCGGCGGUGAUGAGGAAGGCCGGCGGGGGGAGAGGGAACCCGCGUGAACACACACACACACACGCACCGUGGCUACAGCGAGCCCCCCGAAGGGGCUACAGAUGCAGGCAAUGGACUGCAGUGGGGAAAUGGACCAGGAAGCCCAGGAAAGGAAGCCUUUGCUAGAGGAAGCUCAGAGGCAAACCUGAUAUUUCUGGUGCCAGGACAAGUCCAGGGAAUACACCAUUCAGACAAACCUUGUUACUCGCAGGGGUUUCCGUACCUCACCUACUAUCGAAUAGAUAGCAACUAAAAUGGGCACUAAAAAUAUUAUUUACUAUCAGGGGAUAUAUAUGUUGCAGUACUGGAGGAGGAAAAUAAACUUACUCUAAAAAACAACGUAAACCAGAAAAAAGUCCCUGAAAUGAUGAUGGCAGAAUUGAGGAAGGAGAGGAUUGCCUUAUCUGUAUGGACCACUAAUUGUUGUUGCUGCUGUUGCUUAAUGGACUGUGGAUAAUGGACUCAUCCAUUUCUAUUUUACAGUGGGGAAGUAUUCAGCCUGCAAAUAUUUUUUUUCAAAGAGAAAAUGUUAUAAAGUAGUAUAAAAUAAAAGGGCAAAUAUAAGAAAAUAUAACUUUCUGCAAGUACUCAAAAUGGAGGGGGAGGGAGAGAGAUGUUGGCUUUCUGAGGGAUUGCGAGGGGUGCUGUGUGGCCUAGCCAGCUAGUGUGGCAAUCACCAGCUAGCCCUGGUGCUCUGAGUUUCCCAUGAAAAAAAGCACACAAGUAGAUCCCUAGGGAGAUCGGCAGAAAACUGGCUGAAACCAACUACAAACUGAUGGAUGAGGUUAGAGGCAGAUGCCCAGGGCUAUAGAAAGACAAGACACCAAGGAGUAAGAAAGGCAAGUGGUGGAGCACUGAAAAUUCUCUCUCUGGAGGAGGAAGGACAAGAAUAAAUUAAGAUCUCUCCACGGCCAUUGUAUAGCACAGUGGUUAAAUGGGAAACCAGUAGAUGCAGUAAACCAGCUUCUGUUUCAGAGACCAAGCUCACCAUUAUGAUAAGGGAUCUGGGGGUGGGGUCUUAGCAGCACUCCUGGAUAGGCGCUGAAUAGACGGCAUGACUGAAAAUCAUUUUUCCUAUCGGAUUUGGAGAGGAAAAGUAGGUUUGUUAAUGUGUUUUCUGGAGGAAUACCAAUGAUUUGUGAAAUACUGGAAGCUGAAUUGUGGUAAACAAAAAUGGAUGUUAAGAAUUUGACUUUCUUCUAUAGCUGUUUGAUAUAUGUUUGUAUGCUAGUUUCUAUCAAGGGCAUCUGGUUUAUAUUUCACUUGGUCCUUUUUUGGAGUUUAUAUCCUCUCUCUCUCUCUCUCUUUCUCUCUCAGCAGCCCACAAAAACAUUAUUAAAAUGAUAUAUAGUUUAUCAUUUCUCAACUGAAAAUGGACAAAAUAUAAAAGAAACCUCCCCCCCACCAAAAAAAGGGGGGGGGGAAGCUAGCCUAAACCAAACUGGACUGGUGAUUGCUUUUCUGUCAGGGAUGAGAGUUUCUUUCCAUCACUGAGACAGAUGCUGGCACUACCUCAGCUGUUAUGAUUCAGAGACAAAUACAUACAAUAAUAGCUCCUAGCUGUACAGUGUCCCCAGGUCCCUGGGUGCAUUUUCUAACUCACAGUAAGUGACCUGCUAUGCAAAAACACCAUUAUGGUGGUAAGGGCAAGAAAUGUACAAUCUCAAAUACAGAAGCAGUUGGAGUUCCAGUUUUUAAGGCAUGUUCCCAAGCUACAAUGAGUGAAUUCAGAUGACUACUUUAUCAUGUAGUAAAUUACCACCACAGUAUGCAUAAAAUCACUUGGUAAACUGGUAAUCCCCGAUAUCUUGAAUAGUGGAGAGGAGAAUUAAAACAUAGAUCUGUACCCUUGCAGAAGUUUGGGAACUGCUAAAUUUAUCCUCAGCACUUGGAAGACCACCUUAGCAAGAUGUUAUGUGGACAUUAUUAUAAGUUUUUAUAAGGCAAAUUAUAACCUAUUCACACCACAUAUCCAGAGCUUUUGAAUGCACACUAUGGAGGGACCUAUGCACAUUCAGCUGAAUGUCUGCAUGGAGCUGUAUAAAACUAUACACAUGUAGGGCUCUUUCUUCCCAGUUGGGAAUGCUCUUUUCCAGAGCCACUUAUGCAGCGGCUUCAUUCAACUGAAAGGGCAGGUUCAUGCAUCACACAGAACCAGAAAAUUUGAUUUAAUAGACUUUGGCACUACAGACUAUCAUUAACUCUUGGAGAUGAUUCUCACAACCGCCAAAAAGUGAGCUAAGGGAGCCUAGCCCACUUUUUGGCGGUCAUGUGCUGCAACGAUUGCUGCACGGCUCCCAGCGGCCAACCCCGCAAAUUCCCCCUCCCUUUAGCCCCAGGUUUGCUGAGCAAGCGCUCCGCUGACCCAGGUUUUGCAGUCGUGUGUUGCCACAGCGCGGCUCCGCGGUGCAGUGUUGGAGGCACCCGUACCUCAACAUUAGACCCAGAGGUACCAGCCCAGAAGUAUAUGGAAUUCAGGCUUGUGUCUGAUUCCAUUUUAUUAAGAGUUCAAUUAAAUGCCUGAACUCAAGGUGAACUGACACCCAGGUCUCAUGACUGCCUCUGCUAACUGCUCUGUGAAGGAAGAGGCAAUCCAGCAUUGUAUUGUGAAAUGGGCACUCAAAGAAACACAAGGGCUAGGCCUGAGCUAUCAAUAUGCUAAAAUGUAACUCACUAUCAGAUAAUGUCUGUGGAAGAGGCCAGAAGCUGAACUCCCCUUUCGUGUUGCAAGAAGUCUAUGUUAAUCCUUGUCAAUGAUGGCUCUGCUCUGCCCAAAGGGGAUACUCAACUGCUGUCUAUAGAAAUUCCACUCUAGGAAAACACCUGUAGAUUUAGCCCUUUUACUAACACCUUUUAACACCUUCUGGGACCAGGCCCCAAAUCUGGGGACAAGAGAAGAUGCCCAUUUCCAGCUCAGAGAUGCAGAUGUGCCUUGGGCAAAAUAGAACGUCCCCUCCCCAAGAUAACAGCUAACAGAAGAUGGGAUUGAAUUUACCCUGGACUGACCAAAUAUCCUGAGCUAAUUUUGAUAAUUAAAAGACAAUAACCAGAGGAUAACAGGAAUGGACACCUUUUGUGAUCCAGGAGACUCAAAUGGACAUCAAAGGAUGGAACCACUAUAAGAAGGAGUCUCUGGACAUAGCAGAUUAGCAAUCUUGCCUAACAAGCAUACUUGUUCACAUCCCAGAGUUUGCUGCUGAACCACGGGGCAAGAAGCAGGAACUCUGUCCAUGGACAGGAAAUGUCUGUGACUUCUGCUGCACCGUGAGAAGUCUAGACUACCCAGCCACGGUGCUUCACUUUGCUCUGAGCAGCUGACUCCAGCCUGCUUGACUACUUGAAGCUUGCACCCGAGGCUCCUGUUCUCCACUCCAGCACCCGCGUUUCUCCUACAUCUGAAGCCUGCAACACUGUCAAGUUCCAGCAAUGAACAAUUCCUUUGAAGCCUUCUUCAUGAACCUGGUGAGAUGCCUAUUCAACGCACAGCCUAGCCUGCUCCCCACUUCCCUCCUCCUUACUAAUCACUGCCACCCGCUUCCUAAGCCCUCCCUCCUUCCUUCUUUCUCUGCUUCUCUCUAAAUGUUUUAUUAGGAUUUGUUAGAUUAUUAGAUAGCUGUAAUCACUGAUUGCACACACAUAUGUUAGUUAGGCACAUUACACUACACUUUGAAUCGGAAACAUGUUUUUAAUGUGGAUUAUUUUAUCCUGAGGAGCAACUUUCUAUAAUAAAGCCCAUUGAACUUUC